GGCCCCGUAGCUCAGUUGGAUAGAGCGGCCCCCUCCUAAGGGGCAGGUCGGACGUUCGAAUCGUCUCGGGGUCGCCA
rnacentral:tRNA from 1 species